AAGUCGUAACAAGGUUUCCGUAGGUGAACCUGCGGAAGGAUCAUUAAAUUCAGUAGCUUGCUACUGGUCGGGAGGCGCUGUAAGCCCGCAUAGUUUAAUUACUGAUGAGCGGCAGGCACUCUGUCUGGACCCUUGUCUUUUGCGCACUCAUGUUUCCUCGGUGGGCUUGCCUGCCGAUUGGACAAAACUAUAACCUUUUUAAUUUUCAAUCAGCGUCUGAAAAAACUUAAUAAUUACAA
rnacentral:misc_RNA from 1 species